GAGGGUAUAGCUCAGUGGUAGAGUGUGUGCUUAGCAUGCACGAUGUCCUGAGUUCAAUCCCCAGCACCUUCA
rfam:Camelus ferus unplaced genomic scaffold scaffold1058, whole genome shotgun sequence.